UGUAGCCCAGGCUAGCCUCG
rnacentral:piRNA from 1 species